UACAGAGGUCUCAAGCGUUGUUCGGAUUCAUUGGGCGUAAAGGGUGUGUAGGUGGCGCCGUAAGUCGGGUGUGAAAUUUCGGAGCUUAACUCCGAAACUGCAUUCGAUACUGCGGUGCUUGAGGACUGGAGAGGAGACUGGAAUUUACGGUGUAGCGGUGAAAUGCGUAGAUAUCUGCAGGAACACCCGUGGCGAAAGCGGCGCGCUGGACCACUACUGACGCUGAGGAACGAAAGCCAGGGGGAGCAAACGGGG
rnacentral:rRNA from 1 species